CAGCUAGCCAUAUUAGCAUCCCACUUGAGGGAACGCUGAGUUGGAAUAGAAAUGGGCCGGUUCAGUGAGCAGAAGGGAGAAGAGGUCCCAUUCGUCUUGUCCUGUUUAAAUACACUGGUUAACUCCUGCCAACAGGGAAGCCAUUCAGCAAAAGGCCAAGGGCAUCUGUCAUGUGUUCAGCACACGGACGCCGUCCCCCUUCCUUCUUCCUCUUUUCCCCCGCUCUUCUGCCACCACUUCCCCACUCUGUUCAUCUCAGUGCCGUCCCUCCUGCCUUUCCCCGCAGUUCGCCUCGCUCGCAGUGCCUCUCCUCCUCCUGAUGAAAGGAGUGAAUAUGCAGGGAGCUGACAUGAUUAGCAGCCUCAUAUCCCCAUGAUGGAUGGCGCCUGCUCCAUUAUUAAUAUAGUAAAAGCACCAACUGCCAGAUUUCCCCUGUGCUGAAGGAGACGUUCUCCUGGAGAUCUCAAGCUACCAGUCCACCGGUUCUUCAGGUCGCUCUCCACGCCGUAGAGGGCUCCAUUGGUGCCAGGGCACCGUUUUCCAAAGUCAUCAGAUCCGAUUCUUCCAAGUCCUCCAGCCGGCACCUGCACCUGUCCCAGCCCCUCCGAAAACCCGACCUACCUGUCCGCCCUCCUCCGCCACCAACUCAGUCCGCUGAUCCUGGUGCCUCUUAUUCCCCCCUUCAAGAUCUGAAUCCACUCCAAGUAAGAUCAAACAUCUCCAUUAAAUACUUCAAAUUCCCACUGAACUUGAACUCACCAUUGUUUUGUUUGUCCGCACACCAGGAUCCCUGAGACCCAGCCAGGCAGUUCUCCGCUCCUGAACCUAUUUUCAAUGUCUGUUCUUUUUUUUUUUUCAAUAAAUCUAAGAAACCCUU